rnacentral:rRNA from 1 species
CCUACGGGUGACAGCAGUGGGGAAUAUUGGGCAAUGGGCGCAAGCCUGACCCAGCAACGCCGCGUGAAGGAAGAAGGCUUUCGGGUUGUAAACUUCUUUUCUCAGGGACGAAGAAAGUAACGGUACCUGAGGACUAAGCCACGGCUAACUACGUGCCAGCAGCCGCGGUAAUACGUAGGUGGCAAGCGUUAUCCGGAUUUAUUGGGUGUAAAGGGCGUGUAGGCGGGAGGGCAAGUCAGAUGUGAAAACUCAGGGCUCAACCCUGAGCCUGCAUUUGAAACUGUGUUUCUUGAGUGCUGGAGAGGCAAUCGGAAUUCCGUGUGUAGCGGUGAAAUGCGUAGAGAUACGAAGGAACACCAGUGGCGAAGGCGGAUUGCUGAACAGUAACUGACGCUGAGGCGCGAAAGCGUGGGGAGCAAACAGGAUUAGAUACCCUAGUAGUC